rnacentral:rRNA from 1 species
CGUGCCUAAUACAUGCAAGUCGAGCGGACAGAUGGGAGCUUGCUCCCUGAUGUUAGCGGCGGACGGGUGAGUAACACGUGGGUAACCUGCCUGUAAGACUGGGAUAACUCCGGGAAACCGGGGCUAAUACCGGAUGGUUGUUUGAACCGCAUGGUUCAAACAUAAAAGGUGGCUUCGGCUACCACUUACAGAUGGACCCGCGGCGCAUUAGCUAGUUGGUGAGGUAACGGCUCACCAAGGCAACGAUGCGUAGCCGACCUGAGAGGGUGAUCGGCCACACUGGGACUGAGACACGGCCCA